CAAGUCGCACGUCCUUCUCGCAAGAGGAGGGAGUGGCGGACGGGUGAGUAACACAUGGGUACCUGCCCCGAAGUGAGGAAUACCGGCGAGAAAUCGCCGACAAUACCGCAUAGGCUCUCGUUGGUAAGCCAAGGAGAGCAAAGCCUCUCGUAAGGGGGGCGCUUUGGGAGGGGCCUGUGGCCGAUUAGCUGGCUGGUGGGGUAAGAGCCUACCAGGGCGAUGAUCGGUAGCUGGUCUGAGAGGACGAGCAGCCACACUGGGAUUGAGAACGGCCCAGACUCCUACGGGGGGCAGCAGUGAGGAAUUUUCCGCAAUGGGCGCAAGCCUGACGGAGCAACGCCGCGUGCAGGAGGACGGCCUUCGGGUUGUAAACUGCUUUUCUCUCCGACGAGGAGCCAAGGACGGUAGGAGAGGAACAAGCCCCGGCUAACUACGUGCCAGCAGCCGCGGUAAUACGUAGGGGGCAAGCGUUGUCCGGAGUUACUGGGCGUAAAGCGCACGCAGGCGGUGCGCCGCGUUUCCGGUGCCAGCUCGUUGCUUAACGACGGGAGUGCCGGGAAGACGGGCGCACUUGAGGGCCUCAGAGGGACCUGGAAUUCCGGGUGGAGUGGUGAAAUGCGUAGAGAUCCGGAGGAAUACCAAAGGCGAAGGCAGGGUCCUGGGAGGUGACUGACGCUGANGUGCGAAAGCCAGGGGAGCGAACGGGAUUAGAUACCCCGGUAGUCCUGGCCGUAAACGAUGACCAUUAGGCGUGUGGGGUAUCGACCCCCUGCGUGCCGUAGUUAACACAUGAAAUGGUCCGCCCUGGGGAGUACGGUCGCAAGAUUAAAACUCAAAGGAAUUGACGGGGACCCGCACAACAGCNGAACGUGUGGUUUAAUUCGAUGCGAC
rnacentral:rRNA from 1 species